AAAAAAUUAAAAAGAAACAAAAAUAAGUGCUAGGAGUCUGGUAGGUUGCGCAGCAUAGAGAAUAAGAGAAGAAAGAGACAAAAGAAAAAAAAAAUUAAGAAGAAAAAAAAAAUUGCUGGAAGUCUCGUAGGUUGUGCAGCAUAGAGAAUAAGAGAAGAAAGAGACAAAAGAAAAAAAAAAUUAAGAAGAAAAAAAAAAUUGCUGGAAGUCUCGUAGGUUGU
rnacentral:misc_RNA from 1 species